AUGGCUGCAAAGAAGAAGAAGCUCUCCACAGCCCAACCUGCACCUUCAAGCCAAGAAGCACCUCACAUUGUCUUCCCAAGCAGCAUGACUGGCUCGAAGCCAAAGGUUACGUCAACCGCUUCAAAACAGAAGAAGACGAGGGCUGCCGAGGCUGAAGCCAGAAAGAUGAAGAAUACUGAAGCCUCUGAUGCCGCUCCCUCCAAGAAGAAGCGCAAGACCAAGAAGAAUAGGGCUGCUCCCACAGAGCCCUUGGUUGUUGAACCCAUCUCAGUGGUUCGCCCUACGUCUGAACAUCAAGAACGACGAAUGAUAGUUCAUGAGCCUGCUACCACAGAGGCCCAUGAAGCUGAAGACAUUCCAGCAGCUGAACCCACCGCUGCUGAAGACAUUGGCCAAGAUGACAAUGUUGAAGAUGAUGAAGUUCUUCCUCGGAUCGAACACAACGUGGUAUCAUCGCCUGUUCUCACGAACAGCAAACUCAUCAGCAUUGGUCGUCCUCUAACGCCAACUGCUCAGGAUGCAUCGUGGGCUGAUCACCCAUAG
rnacentral:rRNA from 1 species